UAGCUUGGUAUCUGGACUUGAGCCUCAUGGUGAAAACCUGUCCAUCCACACAACUUGCACACCUGCCCAAUCCCAGUGUGAGGGUCCUGCAGAAGCACAAGGACCCUGUCACAUAGCCAUGGCUUGUAGGCAUUUUCAGAUGUGGUCCUUGACAGAAGAAGAGCAUAGGAGAGAAUUUAUACAAGGAGAGCCAAGCUAUGCCUAUAAAAUGGAUUUUGACUGAUCAAGCGGAUUGCUCCUGCAUAGAAAAGCUUUGCAGAGUCUACAACAAUCUGCUUCUCUUCCACGUUAAGAGCCUCCUACAGAGUGUUCUCUGUCUCAGAUGCCUCUGUGUCCAAGAAGGCAGGGCUGCACAGACCUGGCAAAAUCAAUUCACGUGUGUAUGGAAAAGAGAGAGAUGUGGACACUAUCUGCAGGGAUCCAUACACAGCGUUCCCAAACUAAAACUCUUAUCCUUAACUCUGUCCUCAUAACUUUACCAUAAAGGUAGGUGUUUGGGGCCCUUUGCAAUGUAUUUGUUAAUAAUCUGAAAUCUGGGCCAGAGGUCCUCUUCAGCACAAUAAUAGAGCCAUUUUGCUAAACCCAUCCCCUCCCCAACCCUGUCUCCUCCUUUUUUUCCCCCCUUCUCAUCUCAUUUCCUCCUGAGCCAAAGAAAUCUGUCUGCCUGAUAGAUGGCUCCUGACAAGCUGAGCAGCUAAAGAUCACAUGUCAAUAGGGCUAUAAUUAGGAGAAUUGAGCCCUGUCAGGGCUGGACGGAUAUUUAUCUGAAAUCAAUGGCCAAUAGGGUGGAAGGAAUGAAGAUGUGGGAGUGUUUGCUUUGGAGCUG
rnacentral:lncRNA from 1 species